rnacentral:rRNA from 1 species
AGCUUCGGCCAUCCGGCGAGGGAUGAGCCCGCGGUACAUUAGCUAGUUGGUAGGGUAACGGCCUACCAAGGCGACGAUGUAUAGCUGGUCUGAGAGGAUGAUCAGCCACACUGGGACUGAGACACGGCCCAGACUCCUACGGGAGGCAGCAGUCGGGAAUCUUGCGCAAUGGGCGAAAGCCUGACGCAGCAACACCGUGUGAGCGACGAAGGCCUUCGGGUCGUAAAGCUCUGUUGUUGGGGACGAAGGGCGAAGGGUUAAUAGCCC